GCCUGGGUGGCUCAGUUGGUUGAGCAUCUGACUUCAGCUCAGGUCAUGAUCUCACAGUUUGUGGGUUUGAGCCCCGCAUGGGGCU
rnacentral:tRNA from 1 species